rnacentral:rRNA from 1 species
UACGGGGGGGGCAAGCGUUGUUCGGAAUUACUGGGCGUAAAGGGCGCGUAGGCGGCCUACUAAGUCGGACGUGAAAUCCCUCGGCUCAACCGAGGAACUGCGUCCGAUACUGGCAGGCUGGAAUCCGGGAGAGGGAUGUGGAAUUCCAGGUGUAGCGGUGAAAUGCGUAGAUAUCUGGAGGAACACCGGUGGCGAAGGCGGCAUCCUGGACCGGUAUUGACGCUGAGGAGCGAAAGCCAGGGGAGCAAACGGG